AUAUUGCUGCACUUCAUAUCUCAGCAGUGUGACUGCACAACAAGCCCAUAGAACGAUUUCAUAGCCUAACAAAAGCAAUUCGAGCAAAACAGUGAGCCAACCUGUAUUCUGAAUUUAACAAAAUAUUGCAUUUCUAGCUGUGAGAGUGAAACUCAGUUAUUGGAUAGCAUCAGGGGCAUGCUAAGGGAAUGGCAAAAUGUGCUGAGGCUGGAAAAGUGCCGACAAUUCAGCUAACAAGUUCCCUUAUAAAUAUAAAACAUAACUAGAGAUUGUGAAUUCUGCUUAUACAACACAUUGGAAAUGAAGUAUUUACAGUGACCCCAACUGAAAGAAGAAAAGAAAAGAUAUCUCUGCGUAUAAACAGGACAGUGGAAAAAAGUAGCUAAGUAAGCAGAGAGCUAUGGCUCCAGUCUGAGUGACUCUAAUCCAAGACACAGCAGAGCCUGGCGACUUCUUAUCAGUUAUUCAAGUGUACGGCAAAGGUGGAAUAUAUUUUUUAUAUAAAUUAUGGCAUCAAAAAGCAAGCAUAAUCGUAUGGUAUUAGCUACUUCCAGGAAUCCAGUGGCUGCAUACUGUAUUACUGUGGAGGUUAUGCAAGAAAACUGGAGGAUGGGUAACAUAACAUGACCCCCAAUCUGUAGCUAAUUUCUGGAUGGGAAAGGUGGUGCUGCCACAGAAGAAGACUUUGCUUACCAUUCUUUAUGGCAUCCUUCCCCCUUUCCUGCACAUUUCUCAGGAUUAUAAAUAAAGUGGCUAACCCUUUUACU